CUUGUAAAACAGAGUGAAUGCAAUCACACUUACAAGUUUCAUUGCUCUAGGAGAAAAGGGAAAAUUUUUCUAAGGUAUUAAAGGUCCCAGCAAGUAGCCUAGCUAUGUGUUUGUGUGUGUUUAGCAUUGUUGUAUCCAUGAGUAUAGCUUGUAAUUCUUGAUAUAUAUGUAAAUUGUAGCUAUUGCAGUGGUUUUCAACUUUCUUUAUAUCUGUAUUUGGAAGAUAUCUUGAGAUUUCAUGAGAGCCGCAAUUUUCGUUCAUAUUUGUACUCACAUGAACUGUGUUAAGUAUCUGGUUGCCUAUUUUGGCAUUAUAGACGAAGGUUAUUGUGAGGAUAUAGACUUUGAUCCCAAUUAUUUUCUUCCUGGAUAAAGAUAUCAUGAUUUAUUACAAUUUUUAUAAUAAAUUUUAAUUAAUUUAA